rnacentral:rRNA from 1 species
AAUGAACGCUGGCGGCGCGCCUAAUACAUGCAAGUCGAGCGAGAAGACGUAGCAAUACGUUUGUAAAGCGGCGAACGGGUGAGGAAUACAUGGGUAACCUACCCUCGAGUGGGGAAUAACUAGCCGAAAGGUUAGCUAAUACCGCGUACGCUCCUUGGACUUCGGUUCAGGGAGGAAAGCGAUACCGUGGGUAUCGCGCUCUUGGUUGGGCUCAUGUCCUAUCAGCUUGUUGGUGAGGUAACGGCUCACCAAGGCUUCGACGGGUAGCUGGUCUGAGAGGACGAUCAGCCACACUGGCACUGCGACACGGGCCAGACUCCUACGGGAGGCAGCAGUAAGGAAUAUUGCGCAAUGGGCGAAAGCCUGACGCAGCGACGCCGCGUGGGGGAUGAAGGUCUUCGGAUUGUAAACCCCUUUCGGGAGGGAAGAUGGAACGAGCAAUCGUUCGGACGGUACCUCCAGAAGCAGCCACGGCUAACUUCGUGCCAGCAGCCGCCGUAAC